GGGCCGUUAGCUCAACCGGUCGAGCACCAGGCUUUUAACCUGAGGGAUCUGGGUUCGAGUCCCAGGCGGCCCA
rnacentral:tRNA from 1 species